rnacentral:rRNA from 1 species
CGCGUAGGCGGUCUCCUAAGUCAGAUGUGAAAGCCCGGGGCUUAACCUCGGAAGUGCAUUUGAAACUAAGGGACUUGAGUAUGGGAGAGGGAAGUGGAAUUCCUGGUGUAGCGGUGAAAUGCGUAGAUAUCAGGAGGAACACCGGUGGCGAAGGCGACUUCCUGGACCAAUACUGACGCUGAGGCGCGAAGGCGUGGGGAGCAAACAGGAUUAGAUACCCUGGUAGUCC